AAUCUCCCACCCCAAGCGGUUUUUGAAUGAAACGGCUUGGCGGAUGGGGUCUGGAUGGGUGCCUCUGCCUGUGCUUACCUUUUAGCCCACAGGCUCGCCCGAAAUGCAUGAGCGCCUUGGGACACUUUGCAUCCGCCUCUCUUGUGGGGAGGAGGCGGCCAAGCAGUGUUUUUCUCCAGGCAUGGCAUGAUACGUCAUUUGCUAUGUCGCCCAAUGGAGGAAUGUUUGGUUGUGUCUGCGUGUGCUUCGAACUUUGCCUCUGUGCAAAUCCCCUUUCAC
rnacentral:misc_RNA from 1 species